ACGCAAUAGAUACCCUGGUAGUCCACGCCCUAAACGAUGUCUACUAGUUGUUGGGAGAGUAAAAUCUCUUAGUAAACGCAGCUAAACGCGUGAAGUAGACCGCCUGGGGAGUACGGUCGCAAGAUUAAAAACUCAAAGGAAUUGACGGGGGCCCGCACAAGCGGUGGAUUAUGUGGAUUAAAUUCGAUGCAACGCGAAAAACCUUACCUGGCCUUGACAUGCUACUAACGAAGCAGAGAUGCAUUAGGUGCCCGAAAGGGAAAGUAGACACAGGUGCUGCAUGGCUGUCGUCAGCUCGUGUCGUGAGAUGUUGGGUUAAGUCCCGCAACGAGCGCAACCCUUGCCAAUAAUUGCCAUCAUUUAGUUGGGUCACUUUAUUGGGUACUGCCGGUGACAAACCGGAGGAAGGUGGGGAUGACGUCAAGUCCUCAUGGCCCUUAUGG
rnacentral:rRNA from 1 species